ACCUAGAUCGGCCCCAGGAGUGCAGGAAGACGGCGAGGACGAUGGAAGUCGACUCGAAGGAUGCCUAAGGCUGAGAAGGAUGCUAGAGGAAGCUGGAGCUCUUGGGGAAGAGGAGGAGAACUGAGGGAUUCUCUCAAGCAAAGUGAGACCCCUGAUGGAGGAGAACAUGUUUAAAUAGACCCUGGGAUCCGACGCAAUAAUGAUUGUGGAUCUCCUCUG
rnacentral:lncRNA from 1 species